UACGAAGGGGGCUAGCGUUGCUCGGAAUUACUGGGCGUAAAGGGAGCGUAGGCGGAUAGUUUAGUCAGAGGUGAAAGCCCAGGGCUCAACCUUGGAAUUGCCUUUGAUACUGGCUAUCUUGAGUACGGAAGAGGUAUGUGGAACUCCGAGUGUAGAGGUGAAAUUCGUAGAUAUUCGGAAGAACACCAGUGGCGAAGGCGGCUCACUGGUCCGGUACUGACGCUGAGGUGCGAAAGCGUGGGGAGCAAACAGG
rnacentral:rRNA from 1 species